AAUCAGAUAAAAGAAUUGGCAGAAU
rnacentral:piRNA from 1 species